UGGGGAAUAUUGGACAAUGGGGGGAACCCUGAUCCAGCCAUGCCGCGUGUGUGAAGAAGGCCUUAUGGUUGUAAAGCACUUUAAGCGAGGAGGAGGGUACUGGUAUUAAUACUACCAGCUACUGGACGUUACUCGCAGAAUAAGCACCGGCUAACUCUGUGCCAGCAGCCGCGGUAAUACAGAGGGUGCAAGCGUUAAUCGGAAUUACUGGGCGUAAAGCGCGCGUAGGUGGUUCGUUAAGUUGAAUGUGAAAGCCCCGGGCUCAACCUGGGAACUGCAUCCAAAACUGGCGAGCUAGAGUAGGGCAGAGGGUGGUGUAAUUUCCUGUGUAGCGGAGAAAUGCGUAGAUAUAGGAAGGAACACCAGUGGCGAAGGCGACCACCUGGGCUCAUACUGACACUGAGGUGCGAAAGCGUGGGGAGCAAACAGG
rnacentral:rRNA from 1 species